rnacentral:rRNA from 1 species
AGUUUUUUCGAAUGGUGGAGCAUGUGGUUUAAUACGAUAAUCCACGUAAAAUCUUACCAACAUAAUUUUUAUUUUUAAUGAUAACAAAAAUAUGUAAUCGUUUAAUAAAUUCGGUAUUGCAUGGCUGUCGUCAGUUCGUGUUUUGAAAUGUAGAAUUAAGUUUUUAUACGAACGAAACCUUUUUAACAUUUUUUUUUUUUUAAUGUUAUUUAAGCUGAAGUCAAGUCGUUUUGGUCUUUAUAUGUUGGGCUACACACGUGCUACAAUGAUAAAAACAAAAAGUUACAAUAGAGUAAUCUGGAGUCAACCUUUAAAAAUUAUCUUAGUACAGAAUGUUUUUUGUAACUCAAAAAUAUGAAGUUGGAAUCGUUAGUAAUUGUAUUUUAAUAUAGUACAGUGAAUAAAAAGUCAAAUUUUGCACACACUGCCCAUCACACUCGGAAAAUUGUAUUUAUUUUUGUAGUUAACUAUUUAAACCUUUUUUUAAAUUUUUAAUAAUUAACUUAAAAUUUAAGUUUGAUAAUUU